rnacentral:lncRNA from 13 species
UAUUAAUACAUUAUGCUGAUCUGUAGUGCUAAAGCUCAUAUUUGGAAAAUUGAGUUCAUCUUUAUGAAGCUGGAAUUGCAGUGAGUGGUUCUGGAAGCAGUUUUGUUACUUCUCAGUACAAGAACUUUGUGAUGCACCUUCACUCCCUGCAGUUACAGUUGGUUUUGGAUACACCCCUUCCUACAGAAACUUAUAUAAGAUAGCUCCUGUUAUCCUUGACUUCCAGAGAACAUCAGAAGCAUCAAAGAGUUUAAAUGUGAGGUAAUUGUGAACAUAGUGAUUACUGAAAAGCAGAGAACUGUGAAAUGCUGCUGAAUUCUUCCCUUCUGCAGUUAUCUACGGCUACAUUUUUUCAGAGGUACCUGAUGGAAUUGGGCCCCUCUGUUGUAGCAUAUGGAAUAUUUUGGACUUAUUUUUGGGGGAGCAAUGGAAUGGCACAAAUUACAAGGGAACAAAAAUUUAGGUACACAUUGGCAAAGGUGAAACAGCUAUUUCCUCCCAGCUGACCUGAAUGGAGGGAUCCACAUAAUUUCUUGGAUUCAGUCUCUGCAAGUGACUUCUGUUAAAUGAAGAGACUCUGUAAUGCUGUCACAGAUCAUGUCCCAUAGCUAAAAGGCAAGGUGUUCACCAGAAAAAGGAAUUUAAGGAAGAAUGGUGCUUAUACUGUUAUAUGUAUGACUGAAUACUUAGUCUGUCUUUGACUAGAUUUCUUUGGUUUUUGGUGUUAGUUUGUUUGUUUUCCUGUGAAGACUGGAAUUUUGUCACAAGUACAAUUUUCUGUACUGCUGUAUGGCAAAAGAGAAGAGCAAGGAGCAGAGCAACUUCUCUUCUUUGUGCCAGCUGUUAGAACAAAACAACUGAAAUUCGUCAGCUUGGGAAUAUUGUGAAUCUUCAUUGGGCAUUCUGGUGAUCUAAAGGUGCUCACAGUGUUCUCCUCCUGAAAUGACCUUACCAAGAGCUGCCAGGAAGGACAUUAUUUCAUUUUAUUUUGCAUUUCAUUUGCUUUGAAGAUAGUCUGUUGUAAUAUAUGUGUUGUUUUAGUGCUCUAGUGUGUGGAAGAUUUGCAGGUCUUGAAAGUGGAAUGUUUUUCAAAAAGUAAAUUAAAAGCAAAUGUGAUUUUUUUUUUUUUAGUAUUACUUUUAAUUGAUGUGUAUUAUUACUGCUACAGUUGUCCUUCUAAAGCUGAUGAAGUUAAAACUAACAUAUAUUACUCAGAUUGCUCAUCAGAGCACCUUGUAAGGCCAUUUGCAAUGGUUUGAUCCUGAACUUUUCAUUGUUUGUAAUAGAAUGACAUAAUCCUGGCAGCAUCUUUUCUCUGUGAAUAAACACAGCCUUCUCCCGGCUGCUCUUGUAGCACCCAGCCCCAUCCCUGCUCUGCAGGCACAAGGAGAGUUCAGUGAAUUCCAAAUAACUUCUUCAAUAAAAGUAAAGCAAAAAUCCCCCACAAAGUAAAACUUGUUCUCUCUGACUCUGUUUAGGCAAGAACUAAUAAGAUGAAGUUGUGUGAUUCAGCAAUGUUAGAUUUCUUUUUGGAUUUGUUCCUCAAAUUGAAGACUGUAAAAGAAUUUUCAGGACUGGUUGUAAAGGCUUAAAUGUUCUACUUCCAAAAUAACUGAAAUGCUGUUCAGUCUUCAUUACUUGUUGGGGUCUCUCCCCUGCCGUGUAGCCCUGGGAGAGGGGCCCUGAGGGCACAGACACGGGGUUUCCCUGCCCCUGCUCAGCCUCGUUCCCAUUGGUUGGUUUGUGUUCCCUGCGCGGGCAGAAGGGCCCUUGGUCCCGUGACUGGAACAGUUCCUGGGCAGAGCUCCGGCCAUGCGGCUGGAGAAAUAAACAUCUCUGAAACAGCUAUCAAGAAUCUGUCUGUCCAUAUAUAUUUCCUUUCCACGGGACUCCUGGUUUGAUAUAUGCGUGUUGCAGUAUCCCCACUGCAACAAAUGGUGGAGAAUUGAGAGCAGAACGAUCCCCGAUCCCUAAGCGACUGAUUUGUGUGAGUAAACCCUGGAAACUUUGGAUUCCUCUUCUUGGUUUUGCUU